rnacentral:rRNA from 1 species
UACGUAGGGCGCAAGCGUUAUCCGGAAUUAUUGGGCGCAAAGAGCUCGUAGGCGGUUUGUCGCGUCUGCUGUGAAAGACCGGGGCUCAACUCCGGUUCUGCAGUGGGUACGGGCAGACUAGAGUGCAGUAGGGGAGACUGGAAUUCCUGGUGUAGCGGUGAAAUGCGCAGAUAUCAGGAGGAACACCGGUGGCGAAGGCGGGUCUCUGGGCCGAUGACUGACGCUGAGGAGCGAAAGCGUGGGGAGCAAAGCAGG